rnacentral:lncRNA from 1 species
UUUUAAACUUGUUUUGACAGUCAAUAAUAAACAUUUGCAUUAAAAGUAAAUUUAUUAAAAGCAGAUGAAAUAUAAAUCUUCUUAGAAAAGCUUGAGAGCAGGCAAGGAUCAACUUAUAGGAGGGACUUUUGGAGAGUCGAGUCAUUCAUGUCAUUCAUCAAUGAAGAGAAAGGAAGGGCAGAGUCAAGGACACAGGGGUACAACUGCCCAGUAAGGACAAAAAGGUCUUUGAGUGUGCUCUCCAAAGCAGAAGGGGCUCAGGACACCCACGGCCGAACCUCAGGAUGCUGGCAAACUUCUUAUCUUUGCCCAUGACCUCUCCUAACUGUAUCCGUCCUAAGGUUGUCUUGUCACUUGAGUGGACACAGGUAUAUACAUUGGUGGAAGCAGGUCCACGGUACGUGAUGCUGCCUUCUGACCUACAUGGCUACCAAACAUGCACAGGAUGAACAGACAUACAUACAGGGAAGACGAUGGCAGACCUAGAAGAGAAGCUAUCUGUCCAAUGAGUGUAUUGGGAUUCCUUACAGGAGGAACUUGAGCAAGAGCUAGUUUGUAAGAAGCAGAUGAUUUGGGACACUGCGUCUCAAGAACAACCCUGAGGACAAUGUGUGCUUGGAGCACAUGAAGCUCAAGAAGAAGGAAGACCAAAGUGUGGGUGCUUCAGUCCUUCUUAGAAAGGGGAACAGGGAGCAAAUAGGGAGACAAAGUACAGAGCAGGGACUAAAGGAAAGUCCAUCUAGAGACUGUCCCAUCUGGGGAUUCAUCCCAGAUAGUCACCAAACUCCAAAACUAUUGUGGAUGCUAAGAAAUUCUUGCUGAAAGGAGCCUGAUAUACCUGUCUUCUGAGAGACCCUGUCAGAGCCUUACAAAUACAGAGCUGGAUGCUCACAGCCAACCAUUGGACUGAGCACGGGGUCCCCAAUGGAGGAGUUAGAGAAAGGACUGAAGGAGCUGAAGGAGUUUGCAACCCCAUAGGAAAAGCAACCCCAUAGGAAGAGCUCAUACACCCUCAGAUCCCCCAGGGACUAAGCCACCAACCAAGGAGUACACAUGGCUCCAGCUGCAUAUGUAGCAGAGGAUGGCCUUGCCAGGCAUCAAUGGGAGGAGAGGUCCUUGGUCUUAUGAAGGGCCCAGUGUAGGGGACUUGAUGGUGGGAAGGCAGGAGUGGGUGGGUGAGUGGAGGAACAUCCUCAUAGAAGCAGGAGAAUGGGGGUUUACAGGAGGUGGGGAACUGGGUAAGGGGAUAACACUUGAAAUGUAAAUGGAGGACAGGCAUGCCUGGGAGCAGCUGUUGGGAUUAUGGGGAAGGAAGCACAGUACCACCUACAGAAUAAGAGAAGAGACACCCGAUGGCUUCAGUAGGAGUUAUAAAUGUGAUGUGCCUGAUAGUAUUGAAGAAAUCGUGGGUUCUGAUGGUUUCUGCUUAGAAGAAAAAGCAUCCUCAGACUAGCAAAGAAGCAACUGUUUAGGUUGGUCAGAGGAACCUACGAAACCCAGCCUAAAGCUCCGGCUAAAACCUUAAAGGUUUAUGUCCCCAGGGAACAUGCUAUGUGUCUUUCACAACCAGUCCAGUCAUCUGCACAUUGCAAACCUGCAGACGUUCCCUCAGCACCCUGAGGUUUGCAACUUAGACUCCGGACAGCAUCUGCUGUCAUCAAUACACCAGAACCAGGUUAUCAACACAGAAAAAGUAGUGUAUUUCCUGCUUCAUAACUUUUCAAAGUGAACAUUUAAUAAAAAAAAAUCAGACAUUAAUAAUCUUCAUUGUAAAUUGAGAAACAAGGUUACCCUAAAUGUUUAAAUAACAUUUUAUUAAUUUCUCAUAUUUUAAAUUCCUAACUCUCUGUGGGGCCAGAGACCCAGCCUAAGGUCCUGCACAUGCUUGACAACUGCUCUACCAGUGGCUCACAUCCGGACCUAGUCCAGCCUUUUGUACUGGUACCAGGUUGCACUGAGUUGCCCAGGCUGGCCUAGAACUCCCACCACAGAAUGGGCUGACUUGGAAAUUAUAAUCCUGCUUCCAUCACUGAGACUGCACACAAAUACCACCAGGCCCUGCCAAAUUCUUAUUUGUGCUUUCAAAAUUUUGAGCAUGAAAAUGACAGGUUAUAUCUAGUUACUAUUUUUCAUCUCUUAUUUUCAUUUUGAAGUACCAGGAUUUGGCAUCAUUCUGCACUGAUACAUAUUUCCCUGUCUCUUUUAACCAGAGCUGAGAGAAUAUUCAUGCUCUGUGAUGGAUGCAAUAAUGAAAUUUUGUAUUUAUGCUGAGUCAUAGUACAGUAUCUUAAAACCAAGCCAAGAAAAUGUACUAUGGGAGUGCAUGGGAGGAAGGAACAAAGAGAUAGUGCUAUGCACUGAUAGCUUUUCUGAGAAAGCUUUGCUUCUAAGCCCCCCUGUGGGGAGGGGUAGAGAGCUGCUCUUUGAAGCAGCCAUUAGGAGGUGCUCAUAGUUUAGGACAAACUCUCCAAGGCCUCCCAGCUCCUUGUGGUCUAGUUUUUAUGUCCUGUAAGGGUUUAUUUUUAAUUUUAGAAAUUUCAUUUCGCUUGAGUUUUCCACUUAUAAAAAAAUUGAGAAGCUGACAGCUCUGGAAACUGAAGCUAUCCAAUUAGUCCAAAAACACCUAAAUGUUUCGGUGGCAUCUAUCAUCACAGAAUACCAAAAGGCUCUCUGGAAACCAUAUCAGGUUGAGAGAAAAACAUGUAUUUAGGAAAGAAAAGCUUCUUGGUUAUUCUCUGCCAGAGCAAGAUAGAGAGAACUGAUGUUAAUGGGUAUGGAGCAGGGGUCUUUAGAGAGUCCCUAGGGCUGUGCCUAAGCCUGUCACAUAGGAGGGCUAUUUAUGAUUUGAAUAUGCUGCCCACAGGGCACAGUCAUCUUUCACCAGGCAGGUUCACAACUAUGUGUUGUAGAUACAUUGAGACUGGUAAUUAUUUGUUCUAUUCCCAGCAUAUUUUGUUUGCUACAACGAGACUCAAUCUAGACAGUUUGGCUCGAUGUGGACACAUAAGGAGGAAAGACAAGGCUCCGCUGCCUUUCCUUUGGCUCCUAAAGCAGCUUUUGGGGUAAAUAAAGGAUUUCAGGUUGCUUAUUUAUAUGAGAAAUUGGGGGUUACAGAUUACAUAUGGGUUAUACAAUUAUGAAAUCGUGUAUGCUUAUUAGUUAACUACUGUAAUAAUCCUCUCAAAAACAUUGUGUCUACUGUCAAAUUCAAAGUGACAAAGACUGAUAUAGACUAAAACAAAACAAACAAAACAAAACCACACCCUUUUAUUCCAUAUUCAAAGAAACAUAUGUAUAACAUUUUUAAAUUGUACAACUGAUAAAACAGGAGACUAACUUUUUUUUUUAAUUGUGGUUGCUUAGGGUACAUUCCUAGAAAAUGGGAACGUUCACCUACCUCAUUUUGACGCUUUUGCACCCAACUCGCAGUAAACCUGAUGUCAUGUGCUUGGGCAAAUGAGACAUUAAGCCUGUACUGAGUAGUGUACAUGGUGACACCUACUGUUAGCCCAGGAUAUCGCAUCCUAGAUCCAUAAGACACCGGUGCCCCCUUUGCAUUUCAAAUCCAUGUCAAUAGGUCAACAUUAAAUCUUACUGACAAAGUUGGUUUGGGGCAUGCCCACAAUUCAGAACAGCUUAUGUGUGUUAUCUUUUUUAAAAGCUAUUCCUGUCAGGGGCUUAAAUUAACAGAGGUUUUACUCUUUCAGGCCCCUACUGGUUGCAGAUGAGACAGUGGAAAUUAAGUCAAUUAUAUGACACCAUCAUUAAUUAGUAUCAUAGUGUAAAAGGGAUGCUUACCCACCUAGUGAUUUGGAGUGCUGUCAUAUCUUAGAGCCCAUUUCAGGAUGAUGUCUUUUCCUGUCUGCUGUAAGGGAGUUUUGCGUUUACUCUUUGUUAUAGCUUUGCAAUUGACUUGUUAGAUGCAAGCACAUCUAUUGCUAUGAUUAUCAUUAAGAUGUUCUCCGUUAUUCUCACCAUAUUCUCCCCCCCCCUUUGUUAAUACUUAACAAAGUAUUACUUUGUUAGGCACCUAAAAUCACUCUGGGCUUUUGUUUGAAUCACUAUUAAAAUAAUUUAAUUUGCU